rnacentral:rRNA from 1 species
UACGUAGGGGGCUAGCGUUGUCCGGAUUUAUUGGGCGUAAAGAGCGUGUAGGCGGCCAGAUAGGUCUGCUGUGAAAACUCGAGGCUCAACCUCGAGAUGUCGGCGGAAACCAUCUGGCUAGAGUCCGGAAGGGAGCGAUGGAAUUCCUGGUGUAGCGGUGGAAAUGCGCAGAUAUCAGGAAGAACACCAGUGGCGAAGGCGGCUCACUGGCCCGGUACUGACGCUGAGGUGCGAAAGCGUGGGGAGCAAACAGG